UACGUAGGGUGCGAGCGUUGUCCGGAAUUAUUGGGCGUAAAGGGCUCGUAGGCGGCCAACUAAGUCAGACGUGAAAUCCCUCGGCUUAACCGGGGAACUGCGUCUGAUACUGGUUGGCUUGAAUCCGGGAGAGGGAUGUGGAAUUCCAGGUGUAGCGGUGAAAUGCGUAGAUAUCUGGAGGAACACCGGUGGCGAAGGCGGCAUCCUGGACCGGUAUUGACGCUGAGGAGCGAAAGCCAGGGGAGCAAACGGG
rnacentral:rRNA from 1 species